CCGCAUAUCUAUAUAGCAGACCAUACAAGCAUGGAAGGCUGCAGAUCAUAUCAAAGCAAUAAUAAUUUCUAAAAAUUUAGCUAAUCAAAAACUUAUCCAAAUGAUUCUUGCAAUAGCUCUAAGUGGCAUAAGUUAACAAUUCCUAACUACGAACAAAAAUCAAAUAAAAUAUUCUAACUAGACUGGCAAAAACUCUAAUGACUGAAAGUAUCUUCAAAAGAUUUAUCGCAUUUUCCAAGUCUCAAACAAUUAUGCAUCUGUAUCUGAAAAACAGAGAAAAUAUAAUAAUGAAC
rnacentral:lncRNA from 1 species